rnacentral:rRNA from 1 species
UACAGAGGUCCCGAGCGUUGUUCGGAUUUACUGGGCGUAAAGAGCGCGCAGGCGGUCGUUUAAGUCGAAUGUGAAAGCCCCCCGGCUCAACUGGGGAGGGUCAUUCGAUACUGAUCGAACUUGAAGGCAGGAGAGAGAAGUGGAAUUCCCGGUGUAGUGGUGAAAUGCGUAGAUAUCGGGAGGAACACCAGUGGCGAAGGCGACUUCUUGGCCUGUUCUUGACGCUGAGGCGCGAAAGCUGGGGGAGCAAACGGG